UGCAUAUACAGACUGAAAGUGGGAGAUCCUAGUCCACCAUCAGCAUGACUAGUUAUGCAUUUUAAAACAUGUAAUUCUACUCGUAAUCCUAUCCAAUUCGUUAGCUAGCUCGGUAUCUGUCAGGCAAUUGGAGCUGGCUGAAUUUCUGGAAAGUCUUCCGACGCCGACAGUAGCUUCUUUGCCGCUUUGGAUGCAGAGGGCAGAUGGCGUCUCCUCUGAUGGCUUGUGUACACUAGCACGUGGUAAAUUGCUGCGUGCCGCUUAUGCCGCCCAGAGUGGCUUGCAGGUAGCAUAUAGCAGCAAGUUCGAUUGUGACGUUUGAUUGUGCAUCAUGUUUGUAUGAAGGACUGGUUGAUAAAUAGUUUAAUCCAUUCUCAAUUUCAUUAAUUUAUUCACAGUUAAAUAGUAACAUGCUCUAAAACGCUCUGGUGACAAAUACAAUUUGCUGUCCUGUUUCCAAUCGUCCACAUGGCUGGGAGAACCUAUUGAAGUAACUGAAUACUGUAACAAUCGACCCUCCCGCACCCUCCCGCACGUGCAUAUGCUUUUGCGGUACAGUCGAUAGCGCGCCGGAUCUCGGGGUCGAAGGUCGAGGGUUCGAGACCUGCUCUCUGCUGUUUAAUUACAAUACAUUUCGAAAAUGUAAAAAAAAAAAACGAUGUAUUAUUAGCUAACUACCUAUAGUACAGGCUAACUCAAAUGAGCUGCUAACGUAGCUAGCUGGCUAUCUAGCCAACUUUUACAUAGUGUAUAGAUAACAAGCUAAGUGAAUUAAAUAUCACCAGCAACCUAACGUCAUAUUAGCUAGCUAUCUCUAUGAGAAAAAAAAAACUCCAAAUGCAUUUGUAGGUAGCUAGCUAACAGCCAUGGAGGAGGGUGAAAGGAUGGCUGCGCCAACUGUCAAAGUGAGAGAGUAGGUUAUUCUGGAUAGGACAGGUACUUUUCUGUAGUUCCAGUCCCUAGAAGUGAGGACGGAGAUAAUAGUAACAUAAUAUUCAGUGCGGUCUAAUUUAAGUAUAAUUAAGUCUGCUUCUUGUGAGGUUUUCUGACCUCACAUACAGGGAGCUGUGAAAGCCUGUCUGCAGAUUAAGAGUAAAUAAAUAAAUAGUGGUUCUGAGUCCUGGUCCUGGGGACUCAAAGGGGUGCACAUUUUUGUUUUUGCCUUAGCACUACACAGCUGAUUCAAAUGAUCAACUCAUCAUCAAGUGUCAAGUGGUAUUUAUGUAUUCAUUUGUGAUGCUAUCCUUGAUAUGAUCCUGCUAUUGUCACAUGCACUUGUGUGCACAUGCAUCUAUCUAUCCAAUGUCAUCAUGAUUUGCUAUAAGGGAUAUUAUACUUUAAUAAUCCACAAUGACCUGGUGAUGUAAAAGUUGAAUAAUGACAUUGUCGGAAUAUGGAAGACGGAUACCUUGUAACUGGAGAUACCUACAAAAUGAUUGCCUAGUUACCGUGUAGGGCACUGCAAGGUUGGGUGACCAGUGCUACCUGUAUCCUGCAUAACUUCAUGAGGAUGGACACGAGGACCAGGAGGGGAUCUGCAGCUGGCCGCCGUGUGCCAGAGGAGAAGUCUGCUGCUCUGCAGGAUGUUUGAAGGAUGGGGUCCAACAAUGCUGCAGGAGAGGCAAUCCGUGUGCGGGACAUCUUCACCUCCUACUUCUUAGAAGAGGGUGAGGGUGCUGUUUAGGUAAGGGUGCGAUGUCGGCACAAAAACAAAACAGGCUAUUUUAAGUCGUGUCUGUGCAUGUUUUUCAGCAUAAAGUACUCUGCAUCCACUCAGUGUGGACUCCAGGUGAGGCCACACAGAUUCCUGUUGAAAACUGUCUUUAACUACCUUGUUUUCUCAAUAACAAUCUCUCUCCUUCUCCCUAAAUCAUCUAGGUUAUAUCAGCUGUGUCGAUGAACCCCUCCCGCAUCUGAACUGGCUACAUAGGGGGGACAGCAUUAUCAGAGGUCACCAGUCUGCUCGUUAUGGCACACACCUGUCACCAUCGUUGCGCGCACCUGCACGUCAUCAGACUCACCUGGACUCCAUCACCUCCCUGAUUAUCUUCCCUAUAUAUAUAUAUAUGUCACUCCCUUUGGUUCCUUCCCCAGGCCUUAUUGUUUCUGUUCCAGUGUCAUGUCUGUGCGUGGUUUGUGUUUUAUGUAUUAAAACACUCACUCCC
ensembl:lncRNA